UACGUAGGUGGCAAUCGUUGUCCGGAAUUAUUGGGCGUAAAGCGCGCGCAGGUGGGAUCUUAAGUCCAUUUUGAAAGUUCGGAGCUCAACUCCGUGAUGGGAUGGAAACUGGGAUUCUUGAGUACCGGAGAGGAAAGCGGAAUUCCCCGUGUAGCGGUGAAAUGCGUAGAUAUGGGGAGGAACACCAGUGGCGAAGGCGGCUUUCUGGACGGUGUCUGACACUGAGGCGCGAAAGCUAGGGGAGCGAACGGG
rnacentral:rRNA from 1 species